AUUGAACGCUGGCGGCAGGCCUAACACAUGCAAGUCGAGCGAGCGGCGGACGGGAGAGUAAUGUAGGGGGAUCUGCCAGAUAGAGGGGGAUAAAUACUGGAAACGGUGGAUAAUACCGCAUACUAACGUAUGAACACAUAUGGGAUUAGCUAUUAGGUGGGUUAAAGGCUCACCUAGGAGACGCUCUCUAGCUGGUCUGAGAGGAUGAUAAGCCACACUGGGACUGAGACACGGCCCAGACUCCUACGGUAGGCAGCAGUGGGGAAUAUUGCACAAUGGGCGCAAGCCUGAUGCAGCCAUGCCGCGUGUAUGAAGAAGGCCUUCGGGUUGUAAAGUACUUUCAGCGGGGAGGCGUUACCCGCAGAAGAAGCACCGGCUAACUCCGUGCCAGCCGCCGCGGUAAUUC
rnacentral:rRNA from 1 species